GUGGGGAAUUUUGGACAAUGGGGGCAACCCUGAUCCAGCCAUGCCGCGUGAGUGAAGAAGGCCUUCGGGUUGUAAAGCUCUUUUGGUCGGGAAGAAAGUGCUCUGCCUAAUAGGUGGGGUAUUUGACGGUACCGGCAGAAUAAGCACCGGCUAACUACGUGCCAGCAGCCGCGGUAAUACGUAGGGUGCGAGCGUUAAUCGGAAUUACUGGGCGUAAAGCGUGCGCAGGCGGUUCGUUAAGUCUGAUGUGAAAGCCCCGGGCUCAACCUGGGAAUGGCAUUGGAAACUGGCGGGCUGGAGUAUGGCAGAGGGGGGUGGAAUUCCACGUGUAGCAGUGAAAUGCGUAGAGAUGUGGAGGAACACCGAUGGCGAAGGCAGCCCCCUGGGCCAAUACUGACGCUCAGGCACGAAAGCGUGGGGAGCAAACAGGAUUAGA
rnacentral:rRNA from 1 species